AGGGACGGACUGGCACCUGCAGGAAGGACAGGGGCUUGGCUGAGCAGAGCAUGGCCAGCCUAGCCGAGGGCAGCCAGCAUCCUACACUCACUGGUCUCGAGGUGCCCAAGCCAGGGGCCCAGGACUUUGGGCAUUACUGGGAAAUGAUGGGAACCCAGGGUGAGGUGGCGUGAAACAAGAUGAGAUGGCUACACAAUGUCCUGAGAGGAUUCAUUAAGAGAAAAAUGUCAAUCACAGCUUUAAUAACUUACUUUGGAUAAAACUAAUGAGAAAGCAAAUUGGAAGGAGAUGUAUGUACAACCUCAUUCAUAGAAAACUGGUAAAGAAUGGUAGUUUUCCCUGCAUUAUCCAGCCCAACAAUGAUAACUUUGUGCUCCUGGUGAUCGAACAGUCUCCAC
rnacentral:lncRNA from 10 species